rnacentral:lncRNA from 1 species
GGUAGUGGCAACUGUUAAUGUCACCAAAUGAGUUUGUAAUUUGGGUAAAGAAUGUAUCCUUGGUUAAGAAAUGGCAAGAAUGUGACAUUUUUUUUUUUGGUAGAUUAGGAUUUGAUAUUUUUACAUGGAAUAGAAGAACAUGUUGCAGGUUAGAAUGCAGUCUUCUUAACUCAAUCGGCUAUCAUUUGCCGCCCAAAACAUGAUGGAUUUCAAUUAGUUGUGCAACAGCUAAGCAAACCAAAAUCUCAAGAAUUUUAAAUAACCGAUAGAAGUCGAGAGCUCCAAAGAAGGAGAGCAAUCUCCAAGCAAAAACAAUGGCAAUGUCAGCAUGAAUUAUAGCUUCAACAUUUUAUAUGCAAAAGGCCCAUAAAAUUAAGAUCAUAGAUUUUAAAUACACAGGACAGCAUCUCAUAUUUUCAACAAAUACUACAUUAUUAUCGUUUUCAGAUAGAAGAUAAAACUUUACCAAAAACCAGAAGUCAUAUUUUCAGGUACUUGCUCAUUAGUGCUACUAAACAAUAAUUUUCACCAGUGAAGUUCAUUAUAACUAGGGGAUAUCUGAACAUUCUCUAGAAGUCAUGGGCUUGCAAAAGUUCCAUCAGCAGUAAAAUCAUGAUAAGAUUAAGUCAAGUGAAUAGACUAAUACAAUAUUCAGUUAACAAUAUUAUGUGAUGAUAAUCUAUGCAUGUACAUAAACAAGAUUUGGAUGGUCCAUCCUAAUCUCAAACAAUUAUAAAUACCAAAAUCUGAAACAGCCAUUACCUUGAAAACUCCUAAUCUCAAACAAUUAUAAAUACCAAAAUCUGGAACAGUCAUUACCUCGAAAAAUGUGGCGGAAUCGCCACUCAUUUCCAUGCAAAUCCUUGGCUACCAACUCCUGGGUCGGAGGUUGCUUGGACAUGUCCUGUCAAAUAACCAACAUAAGGUCUAUUUCAGAAUUUGAUUGGAAGUAAAAAUAAAACAAAUAAUAUCAGACAAGGAAGGAAAACAAACCAGUGGAGGUAGGCACUCAUCAGCAUGCCUCCUCAACACUGAGAAGCCACCAUGAGUGCUUGUAUCUGAGGCAGUAAGGGUCUUACAGAAGGAGUGUACACGAGGUCGAGGAGUGGGAGUAAGCACAUCCUCUUUCUCCGCGGAGUUUUCAUCUUGCUGGCAUGGAACCAGAAUUACAUCAUUAGGAUUUGAACUUGGCCUAAGAAUCCAAUAAUGGUAAUGGUCCCAAAUAGGCAUAAGCAAUAAUUAGACUUGAAUUUUUCUAAAAUUGCACUUAUGUCAUUUUAUUUAUUCGCAGAAGUAAUCUGGAGAACUGCUUGGCAUUUUUCAUCCAAUAAUAUUCUAAUCCAAAAUAGGAGGCAAACCUUAGGUUCGGGAAGCAAAGUCACUUGAGCAAACACUUCGUCAGUGUCCGAUUCAGCCUACAACAAAGAAAUUGCUGUCAUCAUUACCUCUAACACUCCCUAAAAAACCUAACUCAAAUUAUCAAAUCAAUAGAAGCCGUGGCACAUAUCAUAAAUGUUAAAAUAAAACCCUAGAAUCUCAAGCCUUAUGACAAAUACGAUUUAUGGUACCUUCAAAUGAACAUUAAUCACACGGCAAAGGAUUUUCGCUCUAAGAUCAUAAGCCGGCAUCUGUUGGUCAGCCACCUGAUUAGUUGACGCCUCCACCUUGAUUAUAAGACAAGAACAGAAUUAAACCAAACUGAACCUAAAGAAAAGGAAAAACAAAACUUAAAAGACAAAAGUAAAACGGAUAACAGAAUUGAAAUGCAUAAACCCUCUAAAACCAAUCAAACCAAAAUCCGGAGCAUGUUCGGAAGAAAGAAAACAAAAAAUCACAAAAGCAAAAUAAUGAUAAUAAUAACAAUCAUAAAUCGAACUUCGGUCAAGAGAAAAAAUAACACAAACUGAAAGAAGUAAAACCUGCUCCAGAUGACCCUGAGGAAAGUAGAAAACUCGCUCCCCUACGCGAGGCACCGUCACAAGAGGCCCAGCACAAGCAUGCCAGAGCUCCUUGUAGAGAGCAUCUUCAGAGUCAACAAAAUCCAUUAUCUAAAGAAAUAUUUAUAAAUUCUAAACAGAAGAAAGAAUUCGAGAACCAAAGGAGAGAUAUCAGGACCAGAUUCCUCCAACUACUCCAGAAUCUCAACUCUCCACCGACAAAUCCAGCCAAAUUCCCUCAAGAUCGACCCCCAAACCCCGCCGCAAAACCAGAACCACCGGAACCGGAGCCGACCUCCGCAGAAUCCAUUUCUCAAAAACGUCUCUCCCCCUCACCGAUCCACUACAGUCCUUCAGACACUCAACACAAGCCACGGACCCAAGCUCCCAACCACAACUCAGAAAAACCAAAUUCCAUCAAGAUCGAACUCCUCCAGGACCGCCAUUUCCAGAAACUUCAAACAAUCCUUUCCUCAUCGAUUACAGCUAUCACAACACUCCUAACAGUCAAAAGAGCAAAUCGCGAACCCUAAUUCCCCAAAAAAAAAUCGCAGGAGAAGCGAUUGAUAGAGAGAAAAAAGCCCUAGCUGAUGAUCAUAUUGGAGAGAGAGUGAGGGAAUCUGGAAGCGAGGAGUAGGAGCAGACGCGGAGGUUGAAGAAGAAGAACAACAACCAAUUGUUGGAGGAUGAUCUCUUUAUCGUCGUCAUCUCCUUCGUUUUUCUCUGAAUCGCUUUCUCUCUCCUCUGCAACACUCAGAACUGCCAUUACUAUCGUACGCCGUGGUGUGG